rnacentral:rRNA from 1 species
UACAGAGGUCCCAAGCGUUGUUCGGAUUCAUUGGGCGUAAAGGGUGCGUAGGUGGCGCCAUAAGUCAGGUGUGAAAUUUCGGAGCUUAACUCCGAAACUGCAUUCGAUACUGCCGUGCUUGAGGACUGGAGAGGAGACUGGAAUUUACGGUGUAGCGGUGAAAUGCGUAGAUAUCGUAAGGAAGACCAGUGGCGAAGGCGGGGUCUCUGGACAGUUCCUGACGUGAGGCACGAAGGUCAGGGGAGCAAACGGG